UACGGGGGGGGCAAGCGUUGUUCGGAAUUACUGGGCGUAAAGGGCGCGUAGGCGGUGCUCUAAGUCGGAUGUGAAAACUCUGGGCUCAACCCAGAGCCUGCAUCCGAAACUGGAGUGCUAGAGUUCUGGGAGGGGGUAGCGGAAUUCCUGGUGGUAGCGGUGAAAUGCGUAGAUAUCAGGAGGAACACCGGUGGCGAAGGCGGCUACCUGGACAGAAACUGACGCUGAGGCGCGAAAGCUAGGGGAGCAAACAGG
rnacentral:rRNA from 1 species